rnacentral:lncRNA from 1 species
ACAUCAACUAUGCACUUGACAGCAGUGAGAAUAUGAAACCUGUGGCAAUAGUUUAUGAUAAGAAGUCAGGAAGAGUGAUGGAUUUACAAGCGUCUGCGCCUGGUGUUCAAUUCUACACUGCAAACUCUCUCAUUAAGAAGGGGAAAGGUGGAUAUGUGUAUCAGCCUCAUGCAGCUUUGUGUUUGGAGACUCAAGGAUUCCCGGACGCUGUCAACCAUCCAAAUUUCCCAUCGACAAUUGUGACUCCGGGAAAGAGCUACAUUCACAAGAUGCUGUAUACGUUCUCAAUCACGAAAUAGUACUAGAAUGCUUAUAUUAAUUUUGUGUCUUUUGUAUCUUUUGCAUAAAUUUAUAUAUCUCUCAAGGUUAUAUCAUAUAUGUGCUUUGUGAAAAAUAGAACACCUGACAUUUAAACUCAAUACCGUUGUGCUGGGACGGAAAUUUCCAAAGAACUGUUUUAAAAAUAUGUUUGGUAAGUGUUUGCAUCUGGACUCACUGUUUUUGGAGUGACAAAUUUCUUUCUUUUUUUAGAGCAAAUCAGAAUUUUUAUAAGUGGAGAGGUAGAGAGACUAUUUCCGAUAGACCGUCGGCUCAAUUUGUAUCUGUAUCGUCUCAAGUUAAUUGUUUCCCUUGAGUUUUCAUAAGUGGAGUUUACCAAAGAUAUGCUUUUGGCGUUGAUACUGUCCUUCUUUGCUAGCACAGUUAGAAACAGAAAGCUUUUACUAUAUUCAAAAAUAAAUUAGGUUCAUAAAGGUACAACUGACUAAUCUUCAAGAGAAAGAAAAAAAAAAGAAAAAAAGAAUGAGAAUGACGGCAACGUGGGUGCUAUUUUUUGUAAUUACAUGUCAACAGAAACGUAGGUACUGUUAAAUAUGCAUAAAGUAAUGGGGACCGCUACCUUGACUCUGUCUGUCCACUCAUCAUUGUUGAUUUUCAAUGGAGUUAUCCCAUUUUCAAGCACAUUAUUUGGCAGACAACUUCUGUCUUGAACACAUGCAGAUAAUAAGUUAAACUCAUCCCAAAAUUGGAGUGCUGCAUAUGUCAAGACUGAAGAGGCUCGCUGUGUCAAAACCACAGGAGUUGACUAUGUCUUCAAAGAUUAGUCCGUUGUUGAUCUGUUUUUUCAUUCUUCAUCUGUCGGCUGCUGCCAGUGUUAGAGGGCGCAAGAUAGGGAUAUAUGAGAUUAAGAAAGGAGAUUUCUCUGUUAAGAUCACUAAUUAUGGUGCCAGAAUCAUCUCUGUUCUUCUUCCUGAUAAGCACGGUAUGUCUGUCUUCUACAUUAUCAAUCUAGAGGUGGAUCCAGAAUUUAAAUUUAUUGGGUUCAAUUUGUGUGGUUCUUAGCACUAAACUAUAUAUAUAUAUAUAUAUAUAUAUAUAUAUAUAUUAUGAUAUUUAUGUUCUGUGUCAAAAAUGUUGACCAAUUGUGCGUAUAGGCCACAUCUGCUGGCUGAAUCAAUCUUACCUUUUGGAAAACAUGUUCCUAUUUGAUAAUGUGAUCUUGUUUCAACCUUCUUGAUGUGUAUAUUUGGUCUGUUUUCUGCUGUUCCUUUUAAGAAAUCAGUCUUACUGUCUCUUGAUCCUUUCCAGGAAGAAUAGAUGAUGUUGCUCUGGGAUAUGACACCGUCGAAGAAUACGAGGUUAGUUCACUUUGUUCAUUUUCUCAUUAAGGAAAAGACAAUCAGAAAAAUAGAGUGAUAUACCUCCUGACUUUCCUUUCUUUGAUUUGCCUUCUACUUUAUUGCAUGUCACUGUGGUUCUCUGUGAGUCCAUAGAAAUUGUGCCAUGUGAAAAUUCAUAGCCAAUUGUGAAAUCAUAUUAACAGCUUUUUUCUUUGUCACUGUCUAAUUGUAGCUCUUUCCUACAAAGACCGUAUCUCUAGCCUAUAAUGUCUAACUUAAAUCUUUCCAAAUUAUGGACUGAUGUCAAGUACAUCGAAGGAAACGGAAAACACCAACCUUAUACCCGAUUUAAUUAAAUAAUCUUUCAUUUUGGAUACGUAAAAGAAAGUGAUUUAUGAAGGUUUUUCAGCUACGACCUAUAUUGCAUUAAGGAAUUAGAUUUGAUUGUUAGAUUAUUUCACUUUGGUAUCAGAUCAACUUUUGACAAGUUGUUUUAACACGUUUCUGUGCCUUUAAGUCUAUUAAAGUCCAUGUGAGUAAGAGUUUUGAACAUAGUAAUGCCCCAUUUUAGCUUCAAUCUUUCUAUGGAAUGAGUUGUUUGUAUAUUGAAAUCGUCAUACGCAUAAACAAAUAUGAAAGUAUUUUUCUGCAGAAUGAUACAACUUCUUUCGGAGCCCUACUUGGAAGGGUUGCUAACCGGAUUGGUGGUGCUCAAUUUACAUUGAAUGGAACGCUUUAUAAGCUUAUUGCCAAUGAUGGCGCCAACACACUGCACGGUAUCCUCACUACAUUUUCUUUUGGUUUUGGUUUUUCUUCAAAUUUUCCUUCCUCUUAUAUGUAAGAACUUCAAAAAUAUAGGUGGCCCUGAAGGAUUCAGCCGUGUUGUUUGGAAUGUUAGCAAGUAUGAGCAAGAUGGUCCCUAUCCCCACAUUACUUUAACCUACCACAGUGCUGAUGGUGAAGAAGGUGAAUCUGUUUAGUUAUUCCACAAGAUAAUUACAGUUAUUAAUUUCCUUUGGAAGAUACAGUAUGAGUUGAGUAAAAUCCAUUAUUUUCGUUCGUAGGAUUUCCUGGUGAUGUUCUUGCCUCUGUUACCUAUGCAUUGGAAGAUCCUUACAAGCUUAGUGUGGUAAUGAAGGCAAAAGCACUAAACAUGGCCACUCCAGUUAACUUGGCUCAACACACUUAUUGGAACAUUGGUGGACACAACAUUGGAGAUAUCUUGUCCAACGUUGUUCAAAUCUUUGCAUCACACAUCACUCCAGUAGACGAACAUCUCAUUCCUACAGGUGAAAUUUCUCCUGUCAAGAACACACCCUAUGAUUUCCUUAAACCCCGUGAAGUAGGGAGCCAGAUCAACGAACUGCAAAGUGGAUAUGACAUCAACUAUGCACUCGACAGCAGUGCAGAAAUGAAGCCCGUGGCAAUAGUUCAUGACAAAAAGUCAGGAAGAGUGAUGGAUUUACAAGCGUCUGCACCUGGUGUGCAAUUCUACACUGCAAACUCCCUUAUUCAGAAGGGGAAAGGUGGAUAUGUGUAUCAGCCUCAUGCAGCAUUGUGCUUCGAGACUCAAGGGUUCCCCGAUGCUGUGAAUCACCCUAAUUUCCCUUCAACAAUUGUGAGUCCAGGAAAGGCCUACACUCACAAAAUGCUGUACACGUUCUCAAUCAUGAAAUACUGGAAUUCUUAUUAAUUUUUUCCACCAUCGCUUGUGUCCUUUGUAUCUUCUGCAUAGAUUGAUAUUUCUGUCAAGGUUAUAUGCUAUUUAUAACAAAUAAAACACCUGACAUUAGACUCAAUACAGUUCUGUUUUGAUGGAGUUUUCAAAGAACAGUUUUAGACAUGUUUAGUGAGUGUUUAGACGCGGAUUCACUGGUUUUGGUGUGGAUAGUUUUGUUGUUUUUUACCCUUUCUGGAACAAAUCAAAACUUGUUUUUAGUUAAUAGUCUCCAUUUACUAUUCUGAUCACAUUGCUCCAUAAUAAUGGUUUGAGUUUCAUAGGUAGAAUGUUUUACCAUAGAUAUGCUGUUGGCAUCAAUUUUGU